rnacentral:lncRNA from 1 species
GUUCAUCAAGCCUCUGAUGGAUCGCCUCCAAACCUGUAUUCAACAAGUUAGACAUAGAAUCAUUGAGAGCACGCAUUUGCAAGUUAGAUAAUCCGGCAUAUGAAUUUCCGGGUCGGUUUCUUUCUUCUUCACUAUCCAUGGUUACCUGAAAACUUAAACAAGGUAAAGUUAGAUUAAAAACCUCACACACUCAGGUGUUUAUCCUCACCCACACACGUGUUUCACUCAAUUUUUGUUGGUAAUCACACAAGAGAGUUCCUCCCAAAGUUCUAACAGAGCAAACUAGAUCACCCCAAUGAGCAAAUCCAAGUGAACCAAAGAUCAAGAGAGAAAGAUAAGAGAUUUAAAGGGGAACCCGCCUUAACCACCUCAAAGACCGGAUUUCUCUUCGGCCAGCAGGCUUUCUCUUCCACCACCAUACCACAAACAAAUCAAACUUUGGAAUAUCCUUUUUUUUAUACUUUUUUUUUUAUAUAGAUCUUUCUCUUUUUUUUUAGGGUUUUUUUUAUAUAUGGGGGUAAUGAGGGGCCUGGGUUCAAGAUAGAUAGUUAAGAAAUUUAGAUGAAGAAUAUGGAAGAUGAAAUGAAAUGGACUGAAAAAGAGUUACCGAGAGAGUGGCUCUGAUACCACUUGAUAGAACCAAAAUAAGGAUCACUCUUUUGGUAUAAGGUUGAUAUGAACUCAGAUCCGAGAGGAUUGAGACUGAUGGAUCGAGGGGUGACACUAAGGGUUGCGGAAUAGCCCAAAG